GAAACUCGCCUAUAUGAAGUCGGAAUUGCUAGUAAUCGCGGAUCAGCAUGCCGCGGUGAAUACGUUCCCGGGCCUUGUGCACACCGCCCGUCACACCAUGAGAGUCGAUAACACCCGAAGCCUGUAGUCUAACAGCAAUGAGGACGCAGUCGAAGGUGGGAUUGAUAAUUAGGGUGAAGUCGUAACAAGGUAGC
rnacentral:rRNA from 1 species